rnacentral:rRNA from 1 species
CUACGGGAGGCUCCAGUGAGGAAUAUUGCACAAUGGGGGGAACCCUGAUGCAGCAACGCCGCGUGGGGGAUGACGCAUUUCGGUGUGUAAACUCCUUUUAUAUGUCAAGAAAAUGACGGUAGCAUAUGAAUAAGCACCGGCUAACUCCGUGCCAGCAGCCGCGGUAAUACGGAGGGUGCAAGCGUUACUCGGAAUCACUGGGCGUAAAGGACGCGUAGGCGGGUUGGAAAGUCAGGUGUGAAACCCUACAGCUUAACUGUAGAACUGCACUUGAAACUUCUAAUCUAGAGUAUGGGAGGGGGAGAUGGAAUUAGUGGUGUAGGGGUAAAAUCCGUAGAUAUCACUAGGAAUACCUAAAGCGAAGGCGAUCUCCUGGAACAUUACUGACGCUAAGGCGUGAAAGCGUGGGGAGCAAACAGGAUUAGAUACCCCAGUAGUC